rnacentral:rRNA from 1 species
UACGAGGGGGGCGAGCGUUGUUCGGAAUUAUUGGGCGUAAAGGGUGCGUAGGCGGUUCCGCAAGUCCUGUGUGAAAUCUUCGGGCUCAACUCGAAGUCUGCACGGGAAACUGCGGGGCUUGAGUGUGGGAGAGGUGAGUGGAAUUCCCGGUGUAGCGGUGAAAUGCGUAGAUAUCAGGAGGAACACCGGUGGCGAAGGCGGGUCUCUGGGCCGUAACUGACGCUGAGGAGCGAAAGCGUGGGGAGCGAACAGG